rnacentral:rRNA from 1 species
AACGUAGGACGCAAGCGUUAUCCGGAAUUACUGGGCGUAAAGGGCGUGCAGGCGGUCUCUUAAGUUAGGCGUGAAAGCUCCGGGCUAAACCUGGAGAGGUCGUCUGAUACUGGGGGACUAGAGUGUGGUAGAGGGGUGUGGAAUUCCGGGUGUAGUGGUGAAAUGCGUAGAUAUCCGGAGGAACACCAGUGGCGAAGGUGGCACCCGGGGCCACAACUGACUCUAAGACGCGAAAGCAUGGGUAGCGAACGGG